rnacentral:ncRNA from 2 species
UGUAAAAUAAAAGCGCCAGGACUUUGCGUCUUGCAAAGUUGACGAGGACAGAGUCUAUCGAGGAUUCGGCGGAUACUCUGCGUUUGACCAGCGUCAAAGCUUCUACAAAACUCGGGAGCGAUUUCGAGGACAAAGGGAAGCGGAGGUCUAUG